rnacentral:rRNA from 1 species
GAUGAACGCUAGCUACAGGCUUAACACAUGCAAGUCGAGGGGAAACGAUAGGGAAAGCUUGCUUUUCUAGGCGUCGACCGGCGCACGGGUGAGUAACGCGUAUCCAACCUGCCCAUCACUUGGGGAUAACCUCGCGAAAGUAAGACUAAUACCCAAUGACGUCUCUAGAAGACAUCUGAAGGAGAUUAAAGAUUUAUCGGUGAUGGAUGGGGAUGCGUCUGAUUAGCUUGUUGGCGGGGUAACGGCCCACCAAGGCGACGAUCAGUAGGGGUUCUGAGAGGAAGGUCCCCCACAUUGGAACUGAGACACGGUCCAAACUCCUACGGGAGGCAGCAGUGAGGAAUAUUGGUCAAUGGACGAGAGUCUGAACCAGCCAAGUAGCGUGCGGGAAGACGGCCCUAUGGGUUGUAAACUGCUUUUAUAAGGGAAUAAAGUGAGUCUCGUGAGACUUUUUGCAUGUACCUUAUGAAUAAGGACCGGCUAAUUCCGUGCCAGCAGCCGCCGUAA